rnacentral:rRNA from 1 species
AUUGAACGCUGGCGGCAUGCUUUACACAUGCAAGUCGAACGGUAACAGGCCGCAAGGUGCUGACGAGUGGCGAACGGGCGAGUAAUGCAUCGGAACGUGCCAAGGCGUGGGGGAUAACGCAGCGAAAGCUGUGGUAAUACCGCAUACGAUCUAUGGACGAAAGCGGGGGACCGGAAGGCCUCGGGUGAUUGGAGGGGCCGAGGGCAGAAUAGGUAGUUGGUGGGGUAAAGGCUCACCAAGCCAACGGUCUGUAGCUGGUGUGAGAGGACGACCAGCCACACUGGGACUGAGACACGGCCCAGACUCCUACGGGAGGCAGCAAUGGGGAAUUUUGGACAAUGGGCGCAAGCCUGAUCCAGCAAUGCCGCGUGCAGGAAGAAGGCCUUCGGGUUGUAAACUGCUUUUGUACGGAACGAAAAGGUUUGGGUUAAUACCCUGGGCCGAUGACGGUACCGUAAGAAUAAGCACCGGCUAACUACGUGCCAGCAGCCGCCGUAA